UACGGAGGGUGCAAGCGUUAAUCGGAAUUACUGGGCGUAAAGCGUGCGCAGGCGGUUUGUUAAGUCUGCUGUGAAAUCCCCGAGCUCAACUUGGGAAUUGCAGUGGAUACUGGCAGGCUGGAGUAUGGUAGAGGAAGGUGGAAUUCCCGGUGUAGCAGUGAAAUGCGUAGAGAUCGGGAGGAACACCAGUGGCGAAGGCGGCCUUCUGGACCAAUACUGACGCUCAUGCACGAAAGCGUGGGGAGCGAACAGG
rnacentral:rRNA from 1 species